GACGAACGCUGGCGGCGUGCUUAACACAUGCAAGUCGAACGGAAAGGCCCCCAUCUUGGUGGGGGUGCUCGAUUGGCGAACAGGAGAGUAACACAUGGGUGGUCUGCCCUGUACUUCGGGGUAAGCAUGGGAAACUGGGUCUAAUACCGGAUAGGAUCAUGGUUUAGUGUCUCCUGGUGGAAAGAUUAUUGUUUUGGUGCAGGAUGAGCUCGCGGCCUAUCAGCUUGUUGGUGGGGUAAUGGCCUACCCAGGCGUCGACGGGUAGCCGGCCUGAGAGGGUGGACGGCGACAUUGAGACUGAUAUGCCGCCCAGAGUCCGACGCGCGGCAGCAGUGGGUAAGAGUGGACGCUGGGGGGAAGACUGAUGCAGCGACGCCGCGUUGGGCAUGCCAUGCUGCGGGUUGUAUGCUCCUCUUGUGAGGGACGAGGCCACGCUUCCUGGGUGUGAUUACCGUACCCGUGAUAAGAAGCACCGGCUAACUACGUG
rnacentral:rRNA from 1 species